GGGCGUAAGGGUGCGUAGGCGGUUUUGUAAGUCAGAGGUGAANCCCCGGGCUCAACCUGGGAACUGCCUUUGAUACUGGAAGUCUUGAGUAUGGUUGAGGGAGGUGGAAUUCCUAGUGUAGCGGUGAAAUGCGUAGAUAUUAGUAGGAACACCAAUGGCGAAGGCAAGUUCCUGGGCUAUAACUGACGCUGAUGUACGAAAGCGUGGGGAGCAAACAGGAUUAGAUACCCUGGUAGUCCACGCCGUAAACGAUGUCAACUCGUUGUUGGGGUUUUUGGUUCUUAGACGGCGCA
rnacentral:rRNA from 1 species